rnacentral:lncRNA from 1 species
UGGAAGGGGAGUGAGCAGACACACUCAGGAGGUGUCUUGAGAUUAUCAUCCGCUGAGGGUGGAGCUGAGGGUGGAAGGGGAGUGAGCAGACACUCGGGAGGUGUCUUGAGAUUAUCAUCCGCUGAGGGUGGAAGGGGAUAGAGCACACACUCGGAAGGUGUCUUGAGGCUCAGGGAGUUAUCAAUUAUAGAAUGUUGUUGAGUUGGAGGAGGUGUCUUGAGAUUAUCAUCCGCUGAGGGUGGAAGGGGAUAGAGCAGGCACUCGGCAGGUGUCUUGAGAUUAUCAU